rnacentral:rRNA from 1 species
AUUGAACGCUGGCGGCAGGCUUAACACAUGCAAGUCGAACGAUGAUUAUCUAGCUUGCUAGAUAUGAUUAGUGGCGGACGGGUGAGUAACAUUUAGGAAUCUGCCUAGUAGUGGGGGAUAGCUCGGGGAAACUCGAAUUAAUACCGCAUACGACCUACGGGUGAAAGGGGGCGCAAGCUCUUGCUAUUAGAUGAGCCUAAAUCAGAUUAGCUAGUUGGUGGGGUAAAGGCCCACCAAGGCGACGAUCUGUAACUGGUCUGAGAGGAUGAUCAGUCACACCGGAACUGAGACACGGUCCGGACUCCUACGGGAGGCAGCAGUGGGGAAUAUUGGACAAUGGGGGCAACCCUGAUCCAGCCAUGCCGCGUGUGUGAAGAAGGCCUUUUGGUUGUAAAGCACUUUAAGCAGGGAGGAGAGGCUAAUGGUUAAUACCCAUUAGAUUAGACGUUACCUGCAGAAUAAGCACCGGCUAACUCUGUGCCAGCAGCCGCGGUAAUACAGAGGGUGCGAGCGUUAAUCGGAAUUACUGGGCGUAAAGCGAGUGUAGGUGGCUCGUUAAGUCACAUGUGAAAUCCCCGGGCUUAACCUGGGAACUGCAUGUGAUACUGGUGGUGCUAGAAUAUGUGAGAGGGAAGUAGAAUUCCAGGUGUAGCGGUGAAAUGCGUAGAGAUCUGGAGGAAUACCAAUGGCGAAGGCAGCUUCCUGGCAUAAUAUUGACACUGAGAUUCGAAAGCGUGGGUAGCAAACAGGAUUAGAUACCCUGGUAGUCCACGCCGUAAACGAUGUCUACUAGCCGUUGGGGUCCUUGAGACUUUAGUGGCGCAGUUAACGCGAUAAGUAGACCGCCUGGGGAGUACGGCCGCAAGGUUAAAACUCAAAUGAAUUGACGGGGGCCCGCACAAGCGGUGGAGCAUGUGGUUUAAUUCGAUGCAACGCGAAGAACCUUACCUGGUCUUGACAUAGUAAGAACUUUCCAGAGAUGGAUUGGUGCCUUCGGGAACUUACAUACAGGUGCUGCAUGGCUGUCGUCAGCUCGUGUCGUGAGAUGUUGGGUUAAGUCCCGCAACGAGCGCAACCCUUUUCCUUAUUUGCCAGCGGGUUAAGCCGGGAACUUUAAGGAUACUGCCAGUGACAAACUGGAGGAAGGCGGGGACGACGUCAAGUCAUCAUGGCCCUUACGACCAGGGCUACACACGUGAUACAAUGGUCGGUACAAAGGGUUGCUACCACGCGAGUGGAUGCUAAUCUCAAAAAGCCGAUCGUAGUCCGGAUUGGAGUCUGCAACUCGACUCCAUGAAGUCGGAAUCGCUAGUAAUCGCGGAUCAGAAUGCCGCGGUGAAUACGUUCCCGGGCCU